rnacentral:ncRNA from 1 species
GGCAGUUUUUGUGGGGCGCAAUCCUCCUAAAGAGUAACGGAGGAGUUUAUUAAGGUCGGCUUGGGCAGGAUGGACAUCUGCCUGAAAGUGUAAAGGCAUAAGCCGGCUUAACUGCAAGGUUGACAGACCACGCAGGUGCGAAAGCAGAACUUAGUGACCCGAUAUGUCGUUGUAGAAGGCAUAAAGACACCGGAUAAAAGCUACUCCGGGGAUAACAGGCUGGUUCCGUCCGAGCGUCCCUAGCGACGACGGAGCUCGGCACCUCGAUGUCGGCUCACCACAUCCUGGGGGUGAAGAAGCUCCCAAGGGUUGGGCUGUACGCCCAUUAAAGUGGUACGCGAGCUGGGUUCAGACCGUCGCAAGACAGGUCGGUCUCUAUCUGCCGUGGGCGUUGGAUAUUUGAGAGGGGCUGCUCCUAGUAAAAUUUUGCUACUUUACGGAGUAAUCCGUAAUGACAAACCGGCUCAUAACGGUGAAACCUUAUUUUUUCCGUUCCGUUGAUAACCAUAUUGUCGUGGUCCGAUCAAUAUGGUACAAUUACUUGAGGACCGGAAAUAAUUAAGACAACACCGUGGGAAGUCGAUCUAAAAUUGUAUUUCGACAAGCUCAAUACAGUUCUGAGCGAAAUCGAAGAACUGAUUUAGCUUAUAUAGCAGGAUUUCUUGAUGGAGAUGGCAGCUUGAUUUUUCAAGUCAAAAAAAGAAAGGAUACUAAAACCGGUUGGCGGUUUAUGGCGACGAUUGUUUUUUAUCAAGAUAGCCGUCAUGCCUUGCCGCUUAAAUGGUUUAGAGAGAUUCUUGGCAUUGGCUAUCUGUCAAAAAGAAAUGAUGGCAUGACUGAGUUAAGAAUCAAUGGUUUUUCUCAAGUGGAGAAAAUUCUGAAAAACCUAUUUCCUUUUUUGAAAUUCAAAAAAGUUCAAGCUGAAAGUUUACUGAAAGCCUUGAAGAUUCUUAAGAAAAAAGAUUUAAGCUCUUUUGACAAAAAGAACUUGGUCAAAAUCAUCUUGAGAAUUCAAGAGCAUAACUAUCAAUCUCCGAGAAAAAAGACGAGAGAAAUUCUGGAAAAAGUUUUAGGUUUGACCCCGUAACGACUUGUUCUGAGCGAAGUUGAAGAACUGAGUUCAGACAGAUGGGAAUUUUUAAUUUCCAUAACACGCCGGCCCCCGCCAAGCGGGGUGAAGGUAUAGUCUAUGCUUGCAGUGAUGCAAGAUUUCAUGACGAGAGGACCGGAGUGGACGUACCUCUGGUGUACCAGCUUUCCUGCCAAGGGAACCGCUGGGUAGCUAUGUACGGUUUAGAUAAGCACUGAAAGCAUCUAAGUGCGAAGCUAGCCUCAAGAUUAGAUAUCCUUAUUAGAUCUCUGGAAGACUACCAGUUCAGCCCGCUGCUUUGCAGCGGUGAUAGGCGUUAGGUGGAAGAUCAGCAAUGAUUUGAGCCAAGACGUACUAAUGAUCGAAUAUGCGAAUGCC